rnacentral:rRNA from 1 species
UACAGAGGGUGCAAGCGUUGUUCGGAAUUAUUGGGCGUAAAGAGCGCGCAGGCGGUCGUUCAAGUCGAGUGUGAAAGCCCCCGGCUCAACUGGGGAGGGUCACUCGAUACUGAUCGACUUGAAGGCGGGAGAGGGAAGCGGAAUUCCCGGUGUAGUGGUGAAAUGCGUAGAUAUCGGGAGGAACACCAGUGGCGAAGGCGGCUUUCUGGCCCGUUCUUGACGCUGAGGCGCGAAGCUAGGGUAGCAAAACGGGAUUGAGAUACCCGU